rnacentral:rRNA from 1 species
UACAGGGGGGGCAAGCGUUGUUCGGAAUUACUGGGCGUAAAGGGCUCGUAGGCGGCCGGCUAAGUCCGACGUGAAAUCCCCAGGCUUAACCUGGGAACUGCGUCGGAUACUGGAUGGCUUGGAUUUGGGAGAGGGAUGCGGAAUUCCAGGUGUAGCGGUGAAAUGCGUAGAUAUCUGGAGGAACACCGGUGGCGAAGGCGGCAUCCUGGACCAAUAUUGACGCUGAGGAGCGAAAGCCAGGGGAGCAAACGGG